rnacentral:tRNA from 1 species
GCGCCCAUAGCUCAAUCAGGCAGAGCAAGUGACUCUUAAUCACUAGGUUCCAGGUUCGAUUCCUGGUGGGCGUA